rnacentral:rRNA from 1 species
UGCCAGCCGCCGCGGUAACACGGGGGGCGCAAGCGUUAUUCGGAAUUAUUGGGCGUAAAGGGCGCGCAGGCGGUUUGUUAAGUCGGAUGUGAAAGCCCAGGGCUCAACCGUGGAAGUGCAUUCGAAACUGGCAGACUUGAGUCCCGGAGAGGGUGGUGGAAUUCCCAGUGUAGAGGUGAAAUUCGUAGAUAUUGGGAGGAACAUCCGUGGCGAAGGCGACCACCUGGACGGAGACUGACGCUGAGGUGCGAAAGCGUGGGUAGCGAACGGGAUUAGAUA